UACGUAGGGGGCAAGCGUUGUCCGGAAUUAUUGGGCGUAAAGAGCUCGUAGGCGGCCAGUUGCGUCCGCUGUGAAAUCCCGGGGCUUAACCCCGGGCGUGCAGUGGAUACGGGCUGGCUAGAGGCAGGCAGGGGAGAACGGAAUUCCCGGUGUAGCGGUGAAAUGCGCAGAUAUCGGGAGGAACACCGGUGGCGAAGGCGGUUCUCUGGGCCUGUACUGACGCUGAGGAGCGAAAGCGUGGGGAGCAAAUAGG
rnacentral:rRNA from 1 species